GCGGUUGUGGUGGAACGGCAGACACACCAUCUUGAGGGGGUGGCGGGGAGACCUGUGUGGGUUCAAAUCCCACCAACCGCACCA
rnacentral:tRNA from 2 species